GGGCGGCUAGCUCAGUUGGGAGAGCGUCUGGUUUACACCCAGAAGGUCGUCAGUUCAAUCCUGGCGCCGCCCA
rnacentral:tRNA from 1 species